UGGGGAAUUUUGGACAAUGGGGGAAACCCUGAUCCAGCCAUCCCGCGUGUGCGAUGAAGGCCUUCGGGUUGUAAAGCACUUUUGGCAGGAAAGAAACGUCAUGGGUUAAUACCCCGUGAAACUGACGGUACCUGCAGAAUAAGCACCGGCUAACUACGUGCCAGCAGCCGCGGUAAUACGUAGGGUGCAAGCGUUAAUCGGAAUUACUGGGCGUAAAGCGUGCGCAGGCGGUUCGGAAAGAAGGAUGUGAAAUCCCAGAGCUCAACUUUGGAACUGCAUUUUUAACUGCCGGGCUAGAGUGUGUCAGAGGGAGGUGGAAUUCCGCGUGUAGCAGUGAAAUGCGUAGAUAUGCGGAGGAACACCGAUGGCGAAGGCAGCCUCCUGGGAUAACACUGACGCUAAUGCACGAAAGCGUGGGGAGCAAACAGG
rnacentral:rRNA from 1 species